GCCGCGCCGCCAUUUCCUUGUCCCCCGUCGCCGCGCCGCCAUCUCCCCUGGUCGCCGCAGCCGCGCGGCCAUCUCACCUACCCCCCGUCGUCGCGCCGCCAUCUCGCCUGGCUCCGGUCGCGCCGUUCACCACCGGUGCCCCUGCAGCGCUACCUCCUCCUGUCGGUGGGGCUCCGUCGCUGCAUGCCCCUGGCCGUUCACUGCCUCCACCCGGGUCGUUUAACGGGCAUACGACAAGCAGUUCGACGCCACAACUUAGGAGAUUCGACGAUGCUCCACCUUCUCGGCUAGUGGGCCAACACGGCUGUCCUCACGGUGGCCUCCCUUCGACGACCUGAGGUGCCCUCAUGGCCUCAUCUACUUCCUACCUAAUAGAUCACGGCGGCCCUCCCCCACCUACUGCUCGUCAUCAUCGAUCUCAACAAUGAAGGGGGGCCAAAAUAAACGUGAACCUCACCGCCCUCUUCAUGUAUGAGUUUGGAAGGCCAGUAAGUUCUACUUCUGGCAUAAGCCAACGGAGCAUCGGUCGAACAAGGCCGAGGCGCCUCGUGCCAGCUCCGGGCAUCGCUGGAGGCCCUACCUGUUCUUCCACUGCCCCUGUGCACUCACCGUCGAGCCUAUCCAUGCACAGCUCUGGUAGCCCAGCGUCACAAUACACAGUGGCCGGUGGAGCAGCUCCCUCCUCUCAGCUGCUCAAUGGAUUGCAGAGGCGUGACAUUGCUAGGAGUUCAACAUGCAGAACCGUGCAUGUCCAAGUUCCUGCACCUGCAAGCAAACUCCAGUGAAGGUGUAACCAGUAAUUACACAAGUGAAGAUCCAUCCGACACCAAGGGCCGAAUUAAUAAAAUAUUGCUGGCCAUUUGCUCCCAUGCCAUGGAGAUUUGAGCCCCCUGAGCUUGUUGUUGCACAAUGGUGAUUCUCACUACUGGUUGUGCAUGCGCAUUGGUGUGCUGUAGAGUGAUGUGAAACACUCAGUUCAAUUUCACAUUAACUAUCUUGUCACACACUCAGUUCAAUUUCUUGAUUUAGUUUCAGUUCAAAGACUGCGAAUGUUUGUUGCCUAACGCCACAUGGUGGUAAGCUUAUUUAAUGAGUUUCCUGAUGCAAAUGCCCCUGGCCACCCUCGCGCCACCGCAGCGCCCAGGCCGGUCACCACCGGUGCCACAGUCCGUUCACUGCCGAUAGAAGAGGCCGUUCAGUGAUGCAGCGAUGAGGCCAACCGCUGUCGUCUGUCUACCUCCUUCCCCGGUGAGCCCAUGCUCUUCUGCACUUGAUGCUUGAGCUACCUGCACUUCUUUUCUCUGUUCGGAAAUUCCCAAAGCAUCAGUAUUUUGUAUCAGGAGACACCAUGUUAGUUAUGCAAAUUUCUCUUAUGCUUGUAUGUCCAAAAAUGUGUACAGUUACUACUUUUGACUUCUUGUAGUGCAGAGAAGUUACCCUGUGCUGGGCUGACCUCGAGGCUCCUUCUCCAUGUCGACACAAUUGUAGGACUAACGUGCUACUGACCACGCAAGCUUCCUCAAGGAGCUCGUGUCCAAUGAUACUGAAAGGAAAAAUUGCUCCAGUUUUGAACUUCUUAUUCAGUCAUGCUAUUACUGAGUGAAAAAUGGAGUGAAAGUGUAUUGCAAUUGAUCUGUCUUAGACCCUGGCAAUCCUCUAUUUAGCCUGCUUGUUUUUUGGUUUGUAAUUCAAGAACUUUGACGUUCGUAAUUCGGUCUUUGGUUAAUUUGUUAUGCCCAGUACAAACCGUUAAAUCUGAAGAGGCUUCUAAUAGCAAGAAAAUGUACA